AGUUCUCAAUGGUAAGACCCAGCGCCUGAGCGGCCAUCUUUGGUUUGGGCAACGUCAAAUUAGGACAUGUGAAAAAAGGAAAGAGCGAAACAUAGAAUGCAUUUAUAUUAGAUCCCUCUAAACUUUUAUUUAGAAAAGAUAAAUUUCUCUCCGGACUUGUUAAUCUGACUCUAAAGUUUCUUACGCCGGAAGGGAAAGGUGGCCCGAAGUGUGUCAGAUGACCGCCAGUCCUUUCCCAUAUCCCGCCAGGCUUCACCUUUCUCUUAACUUUGAUUCAGGAGCUGCGAGAUGACGCCAGCGUUUUGCGCCAACAGCAUUCCUGGUCGCGCAAUUGAGUUCUUGGUUGGAAAGGUAGCGUUCUGUUUUUACACAACUGUUAGCUCCUCUCGUUGGCUGUCACUUUGUUCUGUUCCUCUGAGCAGAGCAUACGUUCCUACAGAAUCUUCACAGCUCCAAGAGGAAUUGGUGCACUCAAUUAUGGAGGCUGAAAAGUCCUACAAUGUGCAGUCUGCAAGUUGGACACCCUGGAAAGCCUGUGGUGUAAUUCAGUCUGAGUCUGAAGGCCUGAGAACCAGGGGAGCUGAUGGUGUAAAUCCAGUUUAAGUACAGGAGAAGAAUGACGUACCAGCUGAGCAGUCAGAAAUAAGAAGACACGCACUGAGUAUACUUAAAAAGACCUCGUAAAUUCAUCUUUUCAGAACAAACAACUCUGUUCUUUAUACUGGUGGAUGCCCUCUGAGAACAGUAUAUUUACCUUUUCAGAUAGUUAGUUUCUCUUCCUAAAAGGGAAUCUGGAGUAAAUUACACUUUGUACAAGUUACCUCUUUUGAGACUAGUUGCUAUUUUGUUCAUAUAUCACCUUGUUCAUCCUCCUUCUGCUCUUUGUGACACCAAUCAACCUUUUUCUAAGGAGCUACCAAAUUAAUUUCUUUUAUGUAAUGAAAGCAGUGGGUUCUCAUUUUAAGUUUGUCUGCAUCAGUGGAACAAUAGCCACAAGUCAGAGAUGUUCUCUAUAAUUCUCACUGCCAUAUAGCCUAGGAGCUUCUUCAGCUCUUAAACAGAAUUCCCCGUAUAGCCUGUCUGUCAGAUGUUGUGUAUGGAACACAGGAUUAGGAGGUGUCCUACCAUCCUACCUCCAUUUCAGAUCUAAACCUCAAUGCCAUCUUAAAAGAUACAGCCAAAUUUGAGUCGCAGAGCAUUUGUUACUUUCAAAGUAGUUAAAAAAAAAUCUUUUUUUUUUUUUGCGGUACGUGGGCCUCUCACUGCUGUGGCCUCUCCCGUUGCGGAG